CAAAAGUCUCAACAAGUAUUCUACAUUGCCAAUAGCAGCUGGAAUGUGUGUGUCCAUUGAUAUGUUUGAUUCUGCAGAUAUAGAAAUGAUCAAGAAUAAGAGAGGACUGAAGAUGAAGAAAGGAGCGCUCUCUCCUUCCUCUCCUAUCAUUACAUUAGAAUUUAGAGGAGGACCAAAGGCUGAAGGUUUUCUCUGGAUGUGGCUUUCCAGCUCACCCUGUUGUCACACUCUUUCAAGCUGGCCGCCCAACCUCUGACAUGGCUUCCACAUUCCUGCCGCGAAGAAGUAGAAGAAUCAAGGCAAAUAGGGAGGUAGUUGCCAGGAGGUGAUUGUAUCUGAAUGGGCCACACACAGGAGGCAACAAGCUGAAAAUUCUGUCAAAGGGACCUAGGCUGACAGAAGAGCAUGCUGGUUUCCAUGGCAAAACAAGUGUGAACUCUUGGAGUUUCUACCAGCACUGUUGCUCACAUCUUGAGGAACCCACCUAACCAAAAGAGUGCAGGGAAGAACAAUCCUACUUCUACUUUAGAGAAGUAGAGGUACUUGGUCAACAGUUCUGAUAACAUGACUUACAAAUCUUUCAUUUUUCCCCUUGUCUAUAUCAUCCAAUGCAUAUUUUAUCUAUAUUGCCAACUUUAAAUUUGUAUUUAUAUAUAAAUAUCUAAAGUAUGAGAAAUAGUUUGUGAGCAAUUAACAUCUUAGUUCCAGUAUUAAAAUUAUUUAAUAAAGUCUCUUCAGAUGUAAUGUUUUGGGGGACUUGGACAACUUCUCUUAAUGAAAAGGGAGUUGUGGUCUCUAUCUUUUGAAAUGCUUAAUUACCAGAGCCCUUUUGGAAAAUAUUAAACUUUGGCAUCCUUCACUUCAGAUUCAAGGGCAUUUACAGGGACAUCAAUAGAACUUGUUUUUCUACCCCUCCCCAUUUCACUCUCCUUUAUUCUAGCUUAUCCAAGAAAUGUUCAUUGUGGUUGUUUUAUAAACAAGUCAUAAUCAUUUUGUGCAUUGCCUACUACAUAUACCUCAUAACCAUUCUGCAAAGAAAUUACUGUGUAUAUUAUUAAAUUUGCAAAAUUGA